CCCAGGGUGAAGGGGAGAGGUAGCAGAAAGCUGGAGCUCAGAUUGUGAAGGACCUGAUCACAUGUUCUCUACAUCUUUCACUCAACUGUAUGUCAAGAUGUGAUCUACUAUGGAAUACUGCUGGCAAAAGCCUUUCUGUUCCUUUCCAACACCCUUACCAGAAUAUCUACAAUGUUCAGCUCAUGUGCCACCUCUUCCAUGAAGCCUUCUGUGAUCCCCUGAGCCAGAAGUGGGAUCUCCUGCUAAAGCACCGUGGAACCUCUGGCUAAAAUCCCCUCAGUUUCUUCAACCAAUCCUUGUAUGGCAUGGUCCCAAGACUUUUCAUCAUCUUGGCUUACCUCUAGGAUCCACAGUAAGAAGAGAUCUCAGAGCACAUCUAGUCUAAAUCCCCACUUUAUGGACCAGGAAACUGAGGGCCCAGAGACCCAAGAUCAAACAGGUUGUAAGCAGUAAAGCCUGGAUUUGAACCCAGGUCCUCCCACUCCAAAUCAAGUGCUCCUUCUGCUACAGACCUCUGUGUCGUCUCCCCAUGGGAUCAUUUGAGGCUUUGAUUUCUUCUUGUUGCAAAUGAUCAUUUCCUCCCUCUCCCACCUCCUGUGACAUUGCUUAAUUCAGCUGCUUCCUGCACCUGGCUUUGCCUUGAACGAGGAGGGUGGGAUUAGAUCCAGCCAGCAACCUCAGCUUACCUCCAUGUGGGACUGGCGCCUCUCCUACUGCACUCACUAUCUGCCCAUAUCAGGAAGAAAUGAGCUUUAAUUAUUGACGCUGCUAUGCCUGGA